UACGAAGGGGGCUAGCGUUGCUCGGAAUCACUGGGCGUAAAGCGCACGUAGGCGGCUUCUUAAGUCAGGGGUGAAAUCCUGGAGCUCAACUCCAGAACUGCCUUUGAUACUGAGGAGCUUGAGUCCGGGAGAGGUGAGUGGAACUGCGAGUGUAGAGGUGAAAUUCGUAGAUAUCGGGAGGAACACCGGUGGCGAAGGCGGCGACCUGGGUCGAGACUGACGCUGAGGCGCGAAAGCGUGGGGAGCAAACAGG
rnacentral:rRNA from 1 species